rnacentral:lncRNA from 1 species
CCAGUGGACGAUGAUGGUGUUGCCGCCGAGAUCUUCGGCGUGGCCGCAGUGGAGCGGCUGGUGGACGUCGCCGACAAAGUGGGCCAGGAACAUCAAGCUCUCCGUCGGAUCAACUGAUAAAUGGAGGUUCAAUUCAGGCAAAGGAUAUUAGGUGCCGUGUGGCCUGAAGUCAGCUCACACGAACACGAUGCAUGGUAACUAGGGUUAGCUCACAUAUGUUCGAUGCUUACAUGGACUUGAUGAAUCCUCCAGUGCCGCGGUGUAGUUGUUGAUUGCUCCAACCACGCACAUGUCCUUCUCUCCUUUCGUGUUGUGGCAGUCCCCUGCUCAACAGUAAGUACCAACCAUAAGAUAACCUCUCAACUUCUGAUACAGACGUACAGUUCGUACAGACACUGGAAUUUCUUCAGUUGCAUUUCUGUCCUUGUUUUCUAGACUUGAAAGAAAAUGCGUUUAACUUAUUAAAUAGUACUACAUGAAACCUGCAUACGUUGCACACUAGGACCAUAUCAUUACAGCUAUCAAUAUCAAGCAAGCAACUAGCAGGAGCAGGCAGGGACUUGGUUACGCCUUCCAUCCGAGGAGAUGACGAUGACGCGAGCCUAACUUCCUUGCACAAUGAAACAAGCAAGGACCAAGGAGAGACCUAUGUUCCGACGCAUCCUCUCAAGAUUUGGUAGGCAGGUCGCAAACAAAUUUAGUCCAGGCCGAAUAAUACUAGAUAUAUUCCCUUGAGAUCCUUCAGACAUGGGAACUUCUUCGCCUGACUCCCUUUUUCGUCUGAACAUUGAACUCCUACGGCCCAACCACUUGGCAGAGACGACGCCGGUUGCUUCUAUAGCGAGUAAACGCACGCAUGAGGCAUGACAGCGACGUGCCAUCCAAAGCGAUCGAUCUCUAGCUACUCGCGUUAAUGUUUUUCUUCUCGGAGCAAAGUUUGGUUUGGUCGCGACAUGUUAAACCAGAGACGAUCUGAUAGGAGACUCUGAAUUCUGAAGCAGCAGGAUUGCAUGGAAGUUCAAUGUUGAUCAGAAUCCAGGAGGCUUACUGGCGUAGCUGAACUUGCAGUCCCCGGGAUUGUCGGCGAAGUGCAGGGGGCUGGACCACCGGUACCGGAACCGCUGCCGGUCCGCCCACGCGCACGUCUCGGCGAGGUCGCCGCCGGCCCACCCCGGCAGCAGGUCCUUCACCGCCGUCGAGGCCUCUUCCGUCAGAAAGCUCUGCCACACAGUUCCCGGUCCAAUUCUAAGUUGAGCUUCUCCAACGCCGCCGAUGACGACGUACGGAGCAAAUUAACAAUCAAACCAAAGCUAUGGCUAGUGGUGGUUGCCAGUUACCUCGGCGAUCUUGCACACCAUGUAGUGGCCGUCCUUGCCCCAUGCGUGAGCCGCAGGAGCUGUCGCCACCACCGUGACGAGGAGGACGUGGAGGAGCAGGAGCAGCGCCAUAUUGUUGUCUCGAUCGACUUUUCCUUGCUACGCCCUCGUUUUCUCUUAGGAGU